rnacentral:rRNA from 1 species
ACGUAGGGUGCGAGCGUUAAUCGGAAUUACUGGGCGUAAAGCGUGCGUAGGUGGUUCGUUAAGUCUGUUGUGAAAUCCCUGGGCUCAACCUGGGAAUGGCAAUGGAUACUGGCGAGCUAGAGUGCGGUAGAGGGCUGUGGAAUUCCCGGUGUAGCGGUGAAAUGCGUAGAGAUCGGGAGGAACAUCCGUGGCGAAGGCGGCAGCCUGGACCAGCACUGACACUGAGGCACGAAAGCGUGGGGAGCAAACAGGA